AGCUCCCUGACUCCCUCUGAUCACAACCAGCGAUGCCAGCUGACUUUAGAGUUCCUCAUGUACUGACUGGCCCAUAGCCUAUGAACUGGAAGAGUUUUUCAAGGCCUCAUCUCAGCCCCAGGAGCCAGCCUUUGGAAACAAAGCGCCAAGACUUCAGGACACAUGUAAAACCCAAGAACUGAAAUGGAACAGAAGUCAGUCAAUGGGAGAGAUGGCUGAGUAUAUGCUGGUCCACCCACAGAAUUCCAGAAGGAACCUGGGAAAGAGUGAUGGAAGGCGGCCCACAGGAGACCCGUGAGCUAGCUUCCUCAGAGGGCAAGGCAACUGCAGAACAAAGGUAUGCAUUGAUCAGCCAACCACAAAGACCACUCGCACAUCAGACCCUGGAGAAAGAAGCCUUCCUCAGCACUAUCUGCCUUUUGCUGAGAGCCUUUUGCUGAGAGAUGAUUACUUAUACAGUAUCUUGUGGCCUGUAAACACUCUGUUCCAGAUAGUGUGUUAGAGCCUUGAGUCAAAUCAAAUGUUCAGUGAAUGGUUUCUCAGCAAAACCUGCAAGGAAUAGUCAUAAAUUUUGC